AUGCACCGGCAACUGCCCCGCUGUCUCCGACAUGGACCCGGUGAAAUUGAAUUGCGGCGUGCUCGCCAUGGACUCCCACAGGAUCCUUACUGCAAAUUCUGCUGCCAAGAGUCUGGGACCAUUGACCACCUCCUAGUCCAAUGCGCCUUCUCCAGAAUCACUUGGCAUGAAAUCCUCUCAUGGUGCAGACUGCCAGCUUCACCGCCAAACGCCUCGGCGAGCUUCUACGCCUGGUGGUCGGCCACCAACAACGCCACCCCGGCCAGCCUUCGCAAAGGGGCAAACUCCCUCAUCACCCUCGUCGCCUGGUUCCUGUGGAAGCAUCGCAACGAUGCGGUCUUUGAUAACAUUCAGCCAUCUACCAACGAUCUAGCGUGCACUAUCCGAGACGAGGCUCGCCUAUGGGCCCGUGCCAGAGCCAAAGGCCUAGGAAUUGUUAUCCCCGCAAUGUGA
rnacentral:rRNA from 1 species